rnacentral:rRNA from 1 species
CUACGGGUGGCAGCAGUGGGGAAUAUUGCACAAUGGGCGCAAGCCUGAUGCAGCCAUGCCGCGUGUAUGAAGAAGGCCUUCGGGUUGUAAAGUACUUUCAGCGGGGAGGAAGGGAGUAAAGUUAAUACCUUUGCUCGUUGACGUUACCCGCAGAAGGAGCACCGGCUAACUCCGUGCCAGCAGCCGCGGUAAUACGGAGGGUGCAAGCGUUAAUCGGAAUUACUGGGCGUAAAGCGCACGCAGGCGGUUUGUUAAGUCAGAUGUGAAAUCCCCGGGCUCAACCUGGGAACUGCAUCUGAUACUGGCAAGCUUGAGUCUCGUAGAGGGGGGUAGAAUUCCAGGUGUAGCGGUGAAAUGCGUAGAGAUCUGGAGGAAUACCGGUGGCGAAGGCGGCCCCCUGGACGAAGACUGACGCUCAGGUGCGAAAGCGUGGGGAGCAAACAGGAUUAGAUACCCUAGUAGUC